rnacentral:rRNA from 1 species
UACGAAGGGGGCAAGCGUUGUUCGGAAUUACUGGGCGUAAAGGGCGCGUAGGCGGCGCGGUAUGUCACCUGUGAAAUCUCCUGGCUCAACUGGGAGCUUGCAGGCGAAACUGCCGUGCUGGAGUGUGGGAGAGGUGCGUGGAAUUCCUGGUGUAGCGGUGAAAUGCGUAGAUAUCAGGAGGAACACCUGUGGCGAAAGCGGCGCACUGGACCACAACUGACGCUGAGGCGCGAAAGCUAGGGGAGCAAACAGG